GGUUCAAGUCUUCUAUGUGAGUGGAUAUAGAACACAACUACAUUAUAGACAGAUGUCAAAACUGAAGUCAGGCAACACCAUCUACAAAUCUAAAGGCCCACAUGAAGAUUGAAGAUAAAAGGGAUGGUUCCAUUAUGAUGGUUUAAAACUGCAGCGUUGUGGACCUUUCAGUGUGAUGGUGAGGAAUGGAGAACCAUGGAAGACUUGAUGUGGACAAUUUGCCUAGCAAUCAAUUUGAUUCUUCUAAACAUCAGGUCCUCUGCUGCAUGUGGUCCAGCUGAAUAUAUAAUAGGUGGUGAAUGUUGUCCGAUGUGUUCACCAGGUAACCGUGUAUACAGACACUGUACAGAAUAUACAAGUACUUCCUGUAUCCCCUGUAUUGGCUCCACCUACCUUGAUAAACCCAAUGGUCUUACAGCAUGUAUACCAUGUACACACUGUGACCCAGGCUUUGGUUUGAUGGUAAAACAUCCAUGUAGACCUUCAUCAGACACUGUCUGUGAGCCACUGGAGGGGUUCUACUGUACAGACCCAACUAAGGAUGGUUGUAAAGCAGCCCAGAGACACAGCAGAUGUAAAC